rnacentral:rRNA from 1 species
GACCUGCGGAGGGAUCAUUAGAGAGAGCCUAAAAAACUCCCGCAAACCCCAUGUGAACAUACUAUACGUUGCCUCGGCAGGCCCCAGACGCGCCUGGCGCGCACCCCCGUGAGGGGGGGCGCGGGUGGGACCUGCCGGCGGCCCAAGCAAACCCUGUCGUCACUGAAUUCUGAGCCCGCACAUAGGAAAUUAAGUUAAAACUUUCAACAACGGAUCUCUUGGUUCUGGCAUCGAUGAAGAACGCAGCGAAAUGCGAUAAGUAAUGUGAAUUGCAGAAUUCAGUGAAUCAUCGAAUCUUUGAACGCACAUUGCGCCCGCCAGUAUUCUGGCGGGCAUGCCUGUUCGAGCGUCAUUUCAACCCCUUAAGCCCCUGUUGCUUAGCGUUGGGAGCCUACGGCCCGCCGUAGCUCCUUAAAGUUAGUGGCGGAGUCGGCCCGCACCCCAGGCGUAGUAGUUCAGUCAGCUCGCCCGCGGUCGGACCGGUCCCCUGCCGUAAAACACCCCUUAUUCUCGCAAGGUUGACCUCGGAUCAGGUAGGGAUACCCGCUGAACUUAAGCAUAUCAAAGACCGGAGGGAA